rnacentral:lncRNA from 1 species
UCAAUAUCCAGCAUGGUUUUCGAGGAUGGAUGUAACAUUGGAACACAAAAUCAUUACAAGAAUGAAAAGGCACAAGAAAAGAUAUUAGUGAGUCACCUCCAGGUACUCAAUUUGAUCUUUAUCAAUGAAUUUUCUGCCUUUAAAGCUCUUUAACUUUAAAUACUUCUCUUUUGAAAAUUGCAGGAUUCAAGUCUAAUAUGUUGUUGGUGAUGCAAACACAAGAUUGUACUUUCCUAGUUUUUGAAUAAAAGCAUUAGUUUUCGUUUAUCAAUAGUUUGAUACAUAUUCAGCGUAAUUAUUAUUUAGCUAAUUGGAUUUGACUUCAAAGGUCAGUUAAUGGAUUUAUGAAGUUAUAAGAUGUAAUAAUAGUCG